rnacentral:rRNA from 1 species
GUCUGAACUCAAAUCAGGUAAGAUUACCCGCUGAAUUUAAGCAUAUUAAUAAGCGGAGGAAAAGAAACUAACAAGGAUUCCCUUAGUAACGGCGAGUGAAGCGGGAACAGCUCAAGCUUGAAAUCGACACUUGGUAAACAUAUGUCGAGUUGUAGCUUUUGGAAGCAGUUUCAAGCUACUGGUUGCGGUAAAAGUUCUUUUGAAUAAGACAUCAAAGAGGGUGAGAAUCCCGUCAUUGACCGUGAUUUAAGUGGUGAUGCGAACUGUUUUCUGUGAGUCGGGUUGUUUGGGAAUGCAGCCCUAAUUGGGAGGUAAAUUUCUUCCAAAGCUAAAUAUUAGUAAGAGACCGAUAGCAAACAAGUACCGUGAGGGAAAGAUGAAAAGCACUUUGAAAAGAGAGUGAAAAGUACGUGAAAUUGUUAAAAGGGAACCGGUUGGUAGCCAAGCAUUUCUUGGUGUUAGGGCAUUUAUGUCAGAGCGCCAGGAGGGUCAACAUCGAUUACUGUUAACUGCCAGAAAGGAAAUUUUGCAUUCUAGCGGAGGAAGGUAGGGGGGCGAGUUUCUGUUUCAUUUAUGGAGCAGUAUUAUGGCUUGCUUUCUGUUAUAGCCUCCAUGAGUUUGCUUUUUAUACGCCUAGUGGUGGUGGUGAUCGAGGACUGCAGCGCGUUUUGAGRAGUUUUACUUCUUAAUGGCUUGAUUGUUUUAAAGCAUUGUAGUUGCGUUAUGGUAGACAGCAUGCUGACUGCUAUGGGUAGGCUAUAUGAUUUAGGGCAUUYAAGACUAAUCAGCGCUUUGGAUGUUGGCGAAAAGGCACUAAUCGACCCGUCUUGAAACACGGACCAAGGAGUCCAACAUGCAUGCGAGUAUCUGGGAAAUUUAAACCCAUAUGCGCAAUGAAAGUGAACUAGUAGAAACUUUUAUUAGAAUGUAACCUUGAGUCAAAUCUUGGGCAGCAUCGACCGACUUUAGAUAGCGUUGCUUGAAAAGGUUGAGUAAGAGCAUGUAUGCUGGGACCCGAAAGAUGGUGAACUAUGCCUGAAUAGGGUGAAGUCAGAGGAAACUCUGAUGGAAGCUCGUAGAGAUUCUGACGUGCAAAUCGAUCUCCAAAUUUGGGUAUAGGGGCGAAAGACCUAACUCGAACCACCCAAGUAACCGGGUACCUGG